rnacentral:lncRNA from 1 species
AAGCUGGAGCCAUGGAUCCUUCCAUGCUUACUCAUUGGUUGGGGUUUAGUCUCUGGGAGCUCUGCUGGGGUCUGGUUGGUUGCUAUUAUUGUUCUUCCUAUGGGGUUGCAAACUCCUUCUGCUCCUUCAGUCCUUUCUCUAACUUCUCCAUUUUGCUCCCUAUGCUCAGCCCAAUGGUUAACUGCAAGCAUCCUCAUCUGUAUCAGUAAGGCUCUAUCAGAGUCUCUUAGGAGACAUCUAUAUCUGGCUCUUGGCAGCAAACACUUCUUGGCAUCAGCAAUAGUGACUGGGUUUGGUGGACAUUCCCCCCAUGCCACCCCAUUGUUUCUAAUCCUGCUUCCAAUACCUGUUAAACCACCAAUUCUUCUCAAUGAGUAGCUGUCCAGUUUUGAGAUCUUUCAUUCUGUUGUGCGUUCAAUGAACUAGGUUUAAAUAGGGGUGCUAUGUGAGUGUGGGUGUAAUUUAUUCAGGAGAACAUGAAAACAUCACUCCAGAAGAGCACAACAUUUCUCCCCCUAGCAGCCAUUGACUGUUAAGGACAUUUUAGUAUAGAAAUGUGACAAAUGACUCUUCAUCCUCAUAACCAUAUGUGGUUUCAUGAGUGUAAUGGCCAUGGUAGUGCUUCACAGCAGUUAGUUCUGUCACAUGGCUCUCAUAUACUUUCCUCCCUCUUUCCAUGGUGUUUUCUUAGCAUGGGAGGAUAGAUAUCCAUGUUCUGCUGGGCACUCAAUGGUUGCUUACUCCUAGCACUUUAAUCAGGCAUGAGUCUGUGCAUAAGUUUCCUGUUAGUCACCUAUUUUCUUUCUCUGAAAUAAAACAAUCACCCUUGUGAGGGGGAAAGGGAAGGUGUGAAAAUCA